rnacentral:rRNA from 1 species
CAGUCGAACGGUAACAGGAAGCAGCUUGCUGCUUUGCUGACGAGUGGCGGACGGGUGAGUAAUGUCUGGGAAACUGCCUGAUGGAGGGGGAUAACUACUGGAAACGGUAGCUAAUACCGCAUAACGUCGCAAGACCAAAGAGGGGGACCUUCGGGCCUCUUGCCAUCGGAUGUGCCCAGAUGGGAUUAGCUAGUAGGUGGGGUAACGGCUCACCUAGGCGACGAUCCCUAGCUGGUCUGAGAGGAUGACCAGCCACACUGGAACUGAGACACGGUCCAGACUCCUACGGGAGGCAGCAGUGGGGAAUAUUGCACAAUGGGCGCAAGCCUGAUGCAGCCAUGCCGCGUGUAUGAAGAAGGCCUUCGGGUUGUAAAGUACUUUCAGCGGGGAGGAAGGCGUUGUGGUUAAUAACCACAGCGAUUGACGUUACCCGCAGAAGAAGCACCGGCUAACUCCGUGCCAGCAGCCGCGGUAAUACGGAGGGUGCAAGCGUUAAUCGGAAUUACUGGGCGUAAAGCGCACGCAGGCGGUCUGUCAAGUCGGAUGUGAAAUCCCCGGGCUCAACCUGGGAACUGCAUUCGAAACUGGCAGGCUAGAGUCUUGUAGAGGGGGGUAGAAUUCCAGGUGUAGCGGUGAAAUGCGUAGAGAUCUGGAGGAAUACCGGUGGCGAAGGCGGCCCCCUGGACAAAGACUGACGCUCAGGUGCGAAAGCGUGGGGAGCAAACAGGAUUAGAUACCCUGGUAGUCCACGCCGUAAACGAUGUCGACUUGGAGGUUGUGCCCUUGAGGCGUGGCUUCCGGAGCUAACGCGUUAAGUCGACCGCCUGGGGAGUACGGCCGCAAGGUUAAAACUCAAAUGAAUUGACGGGGGCCCGCACAAGCGGUGGAGCAUGUGGUUUAAUUCGAUGCAACGCGAAGAACCUUACCUACUCUUGACAUCCAGAGAACUUUCCAGAGAUGGAUUGGUGCCUUCGGGAACUCUGAGACAGGUGCUGCAUGGCUGUCGUCAGCUCGUGUUGUGAAAUGUUGGGUUAAGUCCCGCAACGAGCGCAACCCUUAUCCUUUGUUGCCAGCGGUCCGGCCGGGAACUCAAAGGAGACUGCCAGUGAUAAACUGGAGGAAGGUGGGGAUGACGUCAAGUCAUCAUGGCCCUUACGAGUAGGGCUACACACGUGCUACAAUGGCGCAUACAAAGAGAAGCGACCUCGCGAGAGCAAGCGGACCUCAUAAAGUGCGUCGUAGUCCGGAUUGGAGUCUGCAACUCGACUCCAUGAAGUCGGAAUCGCUAGUAAUCGUGGAUCAGAAUGCCACGGUGAAUACGUUCCCGGGCCUUGUACACACCGCCCGUCACACCAUGGGAGUGGGUUGCAAAAGAAGUAGGUAGCUUAACCUUCGGGAGGGC